UACGAAGGGUGCAAACGUUUUGCUCGGAAUUUUUUUAUUUGGGCGUAAAGAGCUCGUAGGCGGUUUUGUCGCGUCUGCUUGUGAAAACCCGAGGCUCAACCUCGGGCCUGCAGUGGGGUUACGGGCAGGCUAGAGUUCGGUAGGGGAGACUGGAAUUUCCUGGUGUAGCGGUGAAAUGCGCAGAUAUCAGGAGGAACACCGGUGGCGAAGGCGGCCCUCUGGACGGUGACUGACGCUUGAGACGCGAAAGCGUGGGGGAGCAAACAGG
rnacentral:rRNA from 1 species